rnacentral:lncRNA from 1 species
GGCAAGCCCAUGAAGUCCUAGCAACAAGGCAAAGGCUGAAUUUGCUCCAGACACCUAUGGAUUUGCCGUCGGUAAAUCAGGGUAACUCUGAUCUCUUCCACUGCUAACACAGACAGUUGUGAAUCUCCUGCCUCUAAAAUUACGCUCCACAAGACAAACUCAUCCACUCCUCCGUCUUCUCAUCCCCAAGGCCUAAGACAUCUCUGACCUUAUCUCCAAAUACAGUCACCUUCCAAGAUACUGAGGAUUAAGACAUCAACAUAUGGAUUUAAGGGGACACAAUUCAACCCCUUGCAAAGAGCUACAGAUAUCUUUAUUCUACUACUCAUAAAAUGUCUUAGGAAUACAAUAGCCAUUAGAACAUUAACUGGUUGCAAAAGGUUGAAUUGCUGAAGAAACCAGCUGUUUUUCAGAAAGAGAAAAAGCUUUCAUGCAGCAUUCUUCAUUUAGAAUACAUUGUUAUGCAGGUAUAUACAGCAAGUUAGUGUGUACAUUGAGAAAGACCCAGCAUAAAGUCACAGAGGACUCUGGUGCCAAAUCAUCUGAGUAUUUAUUUGAAUACUGGCUCUGUUUCUGACCAGCUGUGUGACUUUCCCAGCUUGGUGGAAUCUCCCUCUGUCAACCAGGCUGGAGUGCAUUGGCUUGAUGUCAGAUCUUGGAUCACCGCAGCCUCCGUCUCCUGGGUUCAAGUGAUUCUCCCGCCUCAGCCUCUCGAGCAGCUGGGACUACAGGAAGGCACCACCAUGCCUGGCUAAUUAUAAGUCUUUUGACUCACUCUUGUUCGUCCUACUUUCUUUUGCUUUUAUAUUCCAGUCAAACCAAAUUUCUCAUGGCUUUACGCAACUUUGACUUUAUAAGUUCUGCCCUACCAGCCUCUUGGACUUACCUUCUCUAUUUUUAACUGCCUAGUUCUUAUUAAAGACUGAAGUAAAGCACCUGCUUUCUGUGAAGCAUUUCUUCCAACUCCCUCACACAACAUGAAUUGCUCUCUGCUUUGUCUUCUAACAGUCUUUCAGUGCUACC